CCUACGGGAGGCAGCAGUGGGGAAUAUUGCACAAUGGGGGAAACCCUGAUGCAGCGACGCCGCGUGAGUGAAGAAGUAUUUCGGUAUGUAAAGCUCUAUCAGCAGGGAAGAAGAAAGACGGUACCUGACUAAGAAGCCCCGGCUAACUACGUGCCAGCAGCCGCGGUAAUACGUAGGGGGCAAGCGUUAUCCGGAUUUACUGGGUGUAAAGGGAGCGUAGACGGCUGUGCAAGUCUGAAGUGAAAGCCCAGGGCUCAACCCUGGGACUGCUUUGGAAACUGUGGAGCUUGAGUGCUGGAGAGGUAAGUGGAAGUCCUAGUGUAGCGGUGAAAUGCGUAGAUAUUAGGAGGAACACCAGUGGCGAAGGCGGCUUACUGGACAGUAACUGACGUUGAGGCUCGAAAGCGUGGGGAGCAAACAGGAUUAGAUACCCGAGUAGUC
rnacentral:rRNA from 1 species